UACGGAGGGGGCUAGCGUUGUUCGGAAUUACUGGGCGUAAAGCGCACGUAGGCGGCUUUGUAAGUUAGAGGUGAAAGCCCGGGGCUCAACUCCGGAACUGCCUUCGAUACUGCGGGACUCGAGUCCGGGAGAGGUGAGUGGAAUUCCUAGUGUAGAGGUGAAAUUCGUAGAUAUUAGGAAGAACACCAGUGGCGAAGGCGGCGCACUGGCCCGGUACUGACGCUGAGGCGCGAAAGCGUGGGGAGCAAACAGG
rnacentral:rRNA from 1 species